rnacentral:rRNA from 1 species
AUUGAACGCUGGCGGCAUGCCUUACACAUGCAAGUCGAACGGCAGCACGGGAGCAAUCCUGGUGGCGAGUGGCGAACGGGUGAGUAAUAUAUCGGAACGUGCCCGGUCGUGGGGAGUAACGUAGCGAAAGCUACGCUAAUACCGCAUACGAUCUACGGAUGAAANCGGGGGAUCGGCAAGACCUCGCGCGAUUGGAGCGGCCGAUAUCAGAUUAGGUAGUUGGUGAGGUAAAGGCUCACCAAGCCGACGAUCUGUAGCUGGUCUGAGAGGACGACCAGCCACACUGGGACUGAG